GCCGCCUGUAGCUCAGCGGUAGAGCGCCCCACUUAUUCUUAUUCAAGUAUUCUUAGGGGAGGGCCACGGUUCGAAUCCGUGCCGCGGCC